CAUUUCAAAUCUAUGAGAGGGCUCUGACAAUACUUAAAUGAAAAACUCAUUAGGACAGAACAACCAACGAUAACUAUAAUCAGCAAAUUGGUGUGUAAAGCAAUUUUAAUCUGCCAUCUAUCAUCCGUAAGCACAAGGAAUUUGGAGAGAAAUCAUCAGACUCAAAACAAUGAGUAAAGUCUACUGUUGAGAAUACCUACAGAUACUGCCAGACCUGCUGAGCUUUACCAGUGAAAAUUCCCGACAGAAGAAUCAACAGAGAAGGCACCAAUCAUUCUGGAAGACAUGUAACCUGGCUGUAAAUUCAAGAGACAGAAUUAUAUUUUAAUUUUAUAAAGGGGUCGUCAGCCUCCACUUUACAACAAAGGACUGGUUUCCAGUUUAAUCCAUCUUCAGAAAAACAUCAGAUCUUUAAUUCCAAUUCUAAGCAAGAUAAAGAAAUACAUAUUCCUCUUCAAACUUUACAUGUGUGAGGUUUUGUCUGGUACUUUCGAGGACAUAUCAACCGUGAUUAGAAAUAACGUUUCUCCUGAUGCCUAUUGGGUACCCCAGCUGGAGUGAAAGGAUACAGUUCAGGUGUGGAGCCUGUUAGCCCUAGAAGUUUGGAUAGGCCAUCCUAGGAGUAUUAGUGUCUGAAUGGCUGGGACUGCCCAGAGUCUUCUUGCAAGAGGCAAGUGGACUCUUCUUGAUUUGAACUCCCAAGAGUCAGUAAGAGGCAGGCAGAGUGGGACCAUUUCCAGCCACCUCUGGGGUGUUCUGAGAAGAGAUAUUUUUUUAGAGUGUGUGCAUGUGUUCCUCCUCUGGCUGUGUGCCUCCUGGCACCAACCUGUCACCUUGUGAGGCUGAGAAAACUGGAGUGAGGGCCAGGUUUUCAAUCUCCCUGCCACCUUGGUUUCAGACAGGUGGACCAACGGCUGAAGCAAAGGAGUGUAGUUGUGGAGCUGGCAUGUGAGGUGAUGGGUUUGGGCAGCAGUGCAAAGUGAAAGAUACAGCCUUUUCUGACUUCUCCUAUGAAGCCUCAGAUCUCUCUUCCUCAGAGACUGAGACCAUUUCUUCACAGGGCACAUCAUGCUUGUAUCUCUGACAGAAAAGGGUGCUGGUAUGCACUUGUUGGACUAAAGGGGCUGUUUCCACACUGUAGGGAUUCCAUGAUGAUCAGACCUAAGGCAACAACUUCGGAUGUCUUGGACUCUUCAGAAGUACCAAGGCAUUCAACUUCAAUUAAUACUCAUUUACAGAAAUAUUGGACAUUCCAUUUAAUCAAAAUAUAUUUACACCUACUCUAAACCAUCAGGAAGCCAAUUCAUCACAAUGGAGACAACAGAAACUCAAUGGAUAACACAGAUUUGAGAGGCAGUAGUGGAGCACACAGUCCGUAUAACUGCUGGCCUUGAUCUCAGAGAGAAAGAGCAAAAGAGCCAUCCCAACAGCCACCGACAGAAGAGGGAUCACAGACAGUUACUCUCCCCGAGAACUAUCUGCACAGCUAUCUCCCUGAAACCUACCAACACAGGGCUGUUCUGUACCAGGGGAAACAAUGGCAACCAACCAACCACCUCCGAAAACGACUGACAAGGCCUCAGACACAUCCUGAGGUGAAAACUGGCUCACAAAACCACCACAGUGUAAGAAAACCCAUGUACUCAAACUGGGCUGAACACCAUCCGAAGUCUUCAGCGAAGCACCAGCUACAGCAAGUGGGAACAGCCAGCUGUAUUUCAAACUUGUGUUUAUUCCCAGUCGUGAGCCUAUUUCCUCAAGACCCAGGGUAUCCAACUUAGUAAGCAGGGGGGCUAGUUGGUCUUAGUGCAGAACACGGCCAACGUCAGGAAUCUGAUUGAAAUGGCUGUGUCUGAAAAUACUGUUUAGUUUCCAAUAGUAAUUAGCCUGUGUUAAGUUAAUAACAUGAUUGUCUUACUUUCAUUAUUUUGAAUUUGCCUUUUUAACUCUUCUAUUUUAUUCACUUUUUGUGUUAUUU